rnacentral:rRNA from 1 species
GACGAACGCUGGCGGCGUGCCUAAUACAUGCAAGUUGAGCGCUGAAGGUUGGUACUUGUACCAACUGGAUGAGCAGCGAACGGGUGAGUAACGCGUGGGGAAUCUGCCUUUGAGCGGGGGACAACAUUUGGAAACGAAUGCUAAUACCGCAUAAAAACUUUAAACACAAGUUUUAAGUUUGAAAGAUGCAAUUGCAUCACUCAAAGAUGAUCCCGCGUUGUAUUAGCUAGUUGGUGAGGUAAAGGCUCACCAAGGCGAUGAUACAUAGCCGACCUGAGAGGGUGAUCGGCCACAUUGGGACUGAGACACGGCCCAAACUCCUACGGGAGGCAGCAGUAGGGAAUCUUCGGCAAUGGACGAAAGUCUGACCGAGCAACGCCGCGUGAGUGAAGAAGGUUUUCGGAUCGUAAAACUCUGUUGGUAGAGAAGAACGUUGGUGAGAGUGGAAAGCUCCUCAAGUGACGGUAACUACCCAGAAAGGGACGGCUAACUACGUG